rnacentral:rRNA from 1 species
AACGAACGCUGGCGGCGCGCCUAAUACAUGCAAGUCGAGCGAGAAGACGUAGCAAUACGUUUGUAAAGCGGCGAACGGGUGAGGAAUACAUGGGUAACCUACCCUCGAGUGGGGAAUAACUAGCCGAAAGGUUAGCUAAUACCGCGUACGCUCCUUGGACUUCGGUUCAGGGAGGAAAGCGAUACCGUGGGUAUCGCGCUCUUGGAUGGGCUCAUGUCCUAUCAGCUUGUUGGUGAGGAACGGCUCACCAAGGCUUCGACGGGUAGCUGGUCUGAGAGGACGAUCAGCCACACUGGCACUGCGACACGGGCCAGACUCCUACGGGAGCAGCAGUAAGGAAUAUUGCGCAAUGGGACGAAAGCCUGACGCAGCGACGCCGCGGUGGGGGAGU